rnacentral:rRNA from 1 species
GACGAACGCUGGCGGCGUGCCUAACACAUGCAAGUCGAACGGGACUGGGGGCAACUCCAGUUCAGUGGCGGACGGGUGCGUAACACGUGAGGAACAUGACUUUCGGUGGGGGAUAGCCGGCCCAACGGCCGGGUAAUACCGCGUACGACCUCUCGGGGACAUCCCCGGUUGGUGAAAGCAGCAAUGCGCCGAAAGAGUGCCUCGCGGCCAAUCAGCUAGUUGGUGGGGUAACGGCCAACCAAGGCGACGACGGGUAGCUGGUCUGAGAGGAUGGCCAGCCACAUUGGGACUGAGACACGGCCCAGACUCCUACGGGAGGCAGCAGUGGGGAAUAUUGCGCAAUGGGCGAAAGCCUGACGCAGCGACGCCGCGUGUGGGAUGACGGCCUUCGGGUUGUAAACCACUGUCGGGAGGGACGAAUGCCCCGCAAGGGGAGUGACGGUACCUCCAAAGGAAGCACCGGCUAACUCCGUGCCAGCAGCCGCCGUAA